CAACGCCGCGUGGAGGAUGAAGGUCUUCGGAUUGUAAACUCCUGUCAGUGGGAAAAAGGGGAACGUGCUCGUACCACGUUUCAUUGAUUGUACCCGCAGAGGAAGCCCCGGCUAACUCUGUGCCAGCAGCCGCGGUAAUACAGAGGGGGCAAGCGUUAUUCGGAAUUAUUGGGCGUAAAGGGCGCGUAGGUGGCCCUUCAAGUGGUAGGUGAAAUCCCUCGGCUUAACCGAGGAGCUGCCCGCCAAACUGAAGAGCUUGAGUCCGGGAGAGGUGAGUGGAAUUCCCAGUGUAGCGGUGAAAUGCGUAGAUAUUGGGAGGAACACCAGUGGCGAAGGCGGCUCACUGGACCGGAACUGACGCUGAGGCGCGAAAGCGUGGGGAGCAAACGGGAUUAGAUACCCCGGUAGUCCACGCUGUAAACGAUGAGUGCUUGGUGUAGCGGGUAUCGACCCCUGCUGUGCCGAAGCUAACGCAUUAAGCACUCCGCCUGGGGAGUACGGUCGCAAGGCUG
rnacentral:rRNA from 1 species